UGUCUCUGGCACAGUAAUACACAGCAGUGUCUUCAGUCUUCAGACUGUUCAUCUGCAGAUACAGCUGCUGUCUGCUGUUGUCUCUGGAGAUGGUAAACCGGCCUUGGACUGACUGAGAGUAGUAUUUGUAGCUGCCACUGCCACUAUCAAUCCUGGCAAGCCACUCCAGUCCUUUUCCAGGAGCCUGUCUGAUCCAGGCUAGAUACAGGCUGCUGAAUGUGAAUCCAGAGCCUGUACAGGUCAGUCUGUGGGAUUCUCCAGGUCUUUUAACCACUGGUUCAGAUUCUGUCAGAGUCUGACCAUCAACACCUGUCAAGACAAG